rnacentral:rRNA from 1 species
AUUGAACGCUGGCGGCAUGCCUUACACAUGCAAGUCGAACGGCAGCACGGGGCAACCUGGUGGCGAGUGGCGAACGGGUGAGUAAUGCAUCGGAACGUACCUUUCAGUGGGGGAUAACGUAGCGAAAGUUACGCUAAUACCGCAUAUUCUGUGAGCAGGAAAGCAGGGGAUCGCAAGACCUUGCGCUGAUUGAGCGGCCGAUGUCAGAUUAGCUAGUUGGUGAGGUAAAGGCUCACCAAGGCGACGAUCUGUAGCGGGUCAGAGAGGAUGAUCCGCAAAACGGGAACUGAGACACGGUCCAGACUCCGACGGGAGGCAGCAGUGGGGAAUUUUGGACAAUGGGGGCAACCCUGAUCCAGCCAUGCCGCGUGAGUGAAGAAGGCCUUCGGGUUGUAAAGCUCUUUCGGCCGGGAAGAAAUCGCACGGGCUAAUACCCUGUGUGGAUGACGGUACCGGAAUAAGAAGCACCGGCUAACUACGUGCCAGCCGCCGCGGUAACAC